UAGAUGUUCCCUCAUCAGUUGAUACAAGUAUCACCUCCCCAGAGGCCCAAAUCAGUUGAUACGAGUAGUAUCACCUCUCCCAUUCCUUCAGACUCCCAAGCACCUGCCCAUCCCACUCCAUAGCCCAGCCACCCACUCUCAUGUACCAUAUGACCAUCCCAGUAAGCAAGCCAACCACUAGAAUUUGACUGGCAUGCACCUGUGACUUACAUAAACCAGACCUCUAC